rnacentral:rRNA from 1 species
AGAUUGAACGCUGGCGGCAUGCUUUACACAUGCAAGUCGAACGGCAGCGCGGGGCAACCUGGCGGCGAGUGGCGAACGGGUGAGUAAUAUAUCGGAACGUACCCAAGAGUGGGGGAUAACGUAGCGAAAGUUACGCUAAUACCGCAUACGAUCUAAGGAUGAAAGCAGGGGGACCGCAAGGCCUUGUGCUCCUGGAGCGGCCGAUAUCUGAUUAGCUAGUUGGUAGGGUAAAGGCCUACCAAGGCUACGAUCAGUAGCUGGUCUGAGAGGACGACCAGCCACACUGGAACUGAGACACGGUCCAGACUCCUACGGGAGGCAGCAGUGGGGAAUUUGGACAAUGGGCGCAAGCCUGAUCCAGCAAUGCCGCGUGAGUGAAGAGGCUUCGGUGUAAGCUCUUUGUCAGGAAGAAACGGUGGAGCUAAUAUCUCCCAACUAAUGACGUACUGAAGAAUAAGACACCGGACUAACUACGU